GACGAACGCUGGCGGCGUGCCUAAUACAUGCAAGUCGAACGCAGUGGGGACGGGUGAGUAACACGUGGGUAACCUCCCAUCAGAGGGGAUAACACUUGGCAACAGGUGCUAAACCGAUACUGAUGGAUGGACCAGGGGUGCAUUAGCUAGAUGGUGGGGUAACGGCUCACCAGGGCCACGAUGCAUAGCUGACCUGAGAGGUGGACCGGCCACACUGGGACUGAGACACGGCCCAGACUCCUACGGGAGGCAGCAGUAGGGAAUCUUCGGCAAUGGACGAAAGUCUGAUCGAGCAACGCCGCGUGAGUGAAGAAGGUUUUCGGGUCGUAAAGCUCUGUUGUUAGAGAAGCGGUAUCUAACCAGAAAGCCACGGCUAACUACGUGCCAGCCGCCGCGGUAAUUC
rnacentral:rRNA from 1 species